GAACACCAAAAUGUCUGAUGCUAAGGUCUGCUGCUUUGAGUGGGUGACCCUUCUUCCAUCAGAAGAGGCUGCAGAGCUGCUGCUCCCCAUUGCCUCUUGUCUCCUUUGCCAUUACAUCCACCCUCCUGCUUAGGAUCCAUAUUCCCUGUGUUAUUUUCUAGUAUUUAAUUCUCUGCAUUUCUUCCGUCCACCAAGUGGUUAUAUGUGGGUAAAAAUUACACAGAGGGAACUAUACCAUUGAGGCACUGUGAGAUUAAUCUUCUUAAUAAUGAUAGCAGAAGAACAGAAAGCUUACUAUACCAAGAAGAUACAUGUGCCUUUACAAACUGUUUAUUUCAUAAGUUCUUGAAACUAGCAUUACCCAGGGAUUCUGAACUCAGUCCCAGAGAUUCCCUUCAGGAUUUCUGACAAUGACCUUCAAUAGACCUGCAAUUCAUGACUAUGUACACGGGGCUGUCUGCGGCUCAGACUUCAAAGCUGACUCUGUCUUUGAUGCCUGGGUUAGACACCUGGGGACAGGACUUUAAAAGAUCUCCAGAUUUCAAGGCUUUCUGGGUUGACCUUGUUUAUAACAAUUAAGCGACCAGAUUUUCAAGUAAGUUUACAAGGUCAAAUGGUCACAAGGAGAUAAUGGAAUUUAGAUGGAAGCUUAUGAGCUUAACUGCGGGGGGGUUUACGGCAGGCCCGUGCAGGGGGAGCCCUGUUCAUGCCACUGAGAAUUUGUAAAGUGGUACAUUGGGCAUUUUGGUAAAAGGUACAUGCUGGAAAGGAUUUGGGGCUUUCAUCUGUCAUAUAGGGGAACGGACAUGCAUCAGACCUUCUGGAGAGGGUUUUGAGCUUGGCGAUGAAAAACUUGCAUAAAGACACGUCAGACACUGACACUUUAAGAACUUCCUAUGGUAUGUGAGUUUUCCCUGUGUUUCGGAUCAGUGCGACUCAGGACUCCAGCAAAACUCAAUCUAGCUAAUGGAAAAGAAGAAUUUAUGCAGAAAGGGAUUGCUCUACUUCCCUUGAAUGCUUUUUGUGAGGGUGGCAGCACAGAGAUAUGUUCAUGGAGUCAUUUUUAAGUAUCAGAAGUUGACAGUAUUGAAGAAGUUUGUUUCAAGACCAGUACAUUAGUUAUCGCCUGGAUAUUCAAGACUUGUUUGCCCCUUGAGCACCCUUGAGGGAAAUAUGACUGAUGGCAAUAAAACUACUUGCAGAAAUGUGUUAUUGCCGACAGACAGUAACGGAGUUGCCUAUCUCCCCACAGGCAGUUGCCAUAUGUAUCAAGAUGUUUCUUAUGAGCAACUGGCUUCUCUAGAGGAGUUUAAAUCCUUUCUAUACUCCUGUCAGGAGAUGUUCAGCCAUGCCAAGAAAACUCACUGUGACAUGCACACUAAUAGGCUUCAUUUUACAGAAUCACAGAACCGCGGAGGGCAGGAGAGAUCUCUGGAAAUCACCUCCUGCAGUCCUGUUGCUCCAAGCAGAGCUGAACUCGGGGCUGCGGCUCAGGACUCCGUCCAGCCUCCGGCAGGGAUUGCUUGUUGUUUGGACUUGGGUGGAGCUCGGUGUUCGGCUCCUCCACACAGAACCUCUGCCCAAAAGUCUUGGCGGUAAGACAGCUUUGCAAUUUCUCAGCGCUUGUCCAGCCCUGGGUUAUACAUCCACUGCAGUCCCCUAUAGGGAAUACGCGGGAAGGAAGCCCUGAAUAUACAUGGAGAUGGAGAAUGAGAGAGGAUAACAAAGAAUUCACAAGUGAACAAUUCCAGCGGCCCGGCCUGACAAUCUGAACUAGAAGGUGCCCAGUGGGAUGGCUGUAGAGCAACCAAUUUUAUUGCUCCAAUUAUCGGAGGGCUGACCAGGACUCCAUAAAACCCUUCCCCUUCCACAGGAAUUAUGUGCUGAUCGGGCAGGGAUAUCCACACAUCACUGGCUUUAUACUCCUCACUCAAGCUGACAACAUCAGUUCCCACUGAACAAAUGUCUAGCGUGUCUCUCACUCUCCCUCUAUCCUGAUAAAGAUUUUGGGGGGUUUCUUAGCGUCAUGCUUAAUUUCACACUGUCAAAUUUGUUUUGUGUUAAUUGCCAGGGAUUUCUAUGUAAAUCACUGCACCUUCAGUUUGGGACUUGCAGUUUUCGAAGUGACUUUUGUCUGUAUAGAAGUACAUCAAAUCUGCUGUAGAAUAUAUUUUUAAAGGGGUAGAAGACUUCACACUGAAAAUGAGGUGCUGCACAUUCACACAAUACAAAACUCUAUAAUGACAACCAAAAUAUUUAAAAUAUUCUUAGAAUUCUUAGAAUGUUCAUUUCAGUAAAGAAAACUUAUUAAAAGUAGGUUUUUAUCUCUAUGAUCCAACUAAUUUCAUAGCUGACACAGCCUUCAUACACACAUAUAAAAAUCUUUCAUGAAAAAAGUGUCCUUCUGGGAUACCCUCAUAUUUCUGGGCCAAAUUAUCAGCUGGUGUUGGCAAAGGAAGCUCCCUUCAGUGCUGAAAGCAUCAUCUCAGUGGAGAAACUACUUUACAGAUUUGAGACUAGAGCAAGAGACCACCCAUGAGCGCACACCCCGCCACAGAAGGGCGGUGGAUUGCAGGUCCCUGCAGGCUCUGACAAGCGUUAAUUAAGUGGUGAUGUCAGGAUCAGUCAGAUCAAAGGUGCACGUAGCACUGGACUUGUUCUCCAGCAGCGAGUGCCCCGGGAAGCCCAUGAGAGCCAGGUCCUCACCUCCUGAUGCUCCUCCCAGCUCAGGCCGUUCUGAGGUCAGAGGAGGCGGCUUUGGGUUUAACAGUCUCAGGGCACAACUCCAGCUUUCUACCAGGGUUUUCCCACCACUCAUUGCUCCGUAUUCUACCAAAUUACCUCUCUCCUAUCCCUGGGCUGCACAACUUAGUUUUACCAAUCGCUGCAUGGAAGUUCACCACUACAAACCCAGCUUUAAAACAUUCCUCCCGAGGAAGCAAAUACAUUGAAUUUUGCAAGGAGUGCUGAAGCCUCAGGAAACAAAUAACUAACGUCUGCAUCUGGAAGAGCCACGGUCGGGGGUGUAAAGCAAAUUGCUCAUUAGGGAGGAGGCAGAAAAGAACAAAUGUCCCAUCCUGCAACACAUUCACAUUGUUGCCUCACAUACCCAUCAAGCUAAAGCUUCCACUAGUAAUUGAGCUGGCUAAAUGUAUCCUUUGUUAGAGGAAAAUGUGGCCAGGCUGUUCGCUCCCUUUUUAUCUGACAGCUUAAUAGAGUGAAGCUCACGUAAUAAAAAUGAACACUGCAAAGGAAAAUUAAGUUGGAAUAAUUUACUAAGGAUCACACCAUGUUACUUUUUAAGUCCCAGAAACAAAUGUCCUGUAACACGUUAUUGAGGCACUGGCUGAGGAGGAAAUAAUUGCAGAAUGACUUGGAGGAAAGGUGGAGGAAUCAGUUCCAUUCAACAGAGAAUCUGCCUCUUCCCAAAUGGGGACCGAGAACCAUUUCCAGCUCAGCUUGUUUCCCUGUUUCAUCUCCAACGCCUGUGAAAGAUGAAGACAAAUCAAAGCGAGGUGGAGGAGCAGAACCCCGGUGUCAGCGUCGGGGAGCCCAGACCCGGCAGGCACCGAACCCUCAGGAGCUGCUCGCGUCUCGCAGACACACGGCUCCGCGUCCUCUGACUCGGCCCAGAUGUUGCUAUUUUAAGCCAUUCCCGCCUGUCUGCUGCAGUGUCAUGACGCUGCAGGCUCUGCAGGCUCUCCCCUUCAUUUCCCACCCCAACGCAAUGGUGCCAGCAAGAAAAGAAGCAUUUUUAAUCAUCUUUUGAUUCUGAGUUGUCUUUUCCAUUGCUAAUAGUGUUUUCUGUUUCUCUGUGACUAGAGCAAAAGAAAAUUAUAUAUAUACAUAUAUAUAUAUCUCUCUCAACAAUCAUCCAGAACACUGCACAUACAAUCAUUCACAUUCCUUAUUCAUGACUGACAAGAAUUUUAACUGGCUAAUUUUCAGUUUUAUCAAAACACCAAAUUACAACUGCAAUGGCUUCAUUGAUUUUCAAAGCAAUUUUUCCCCCCGAGAGGUGGUUUGCUUUCGGCCAUGAAAAUUCAUGUAUUUCAGAACCAAAUCUAACAACUGAUAUCUUCCUAUUGUUACCUUGCUGUUGGAGCUCUGUAGUUUACUCCUUGCCAUUUGAGUAGCGAUUAACAUAAUAAUUAGAUUUUUACAUAAAGCCCUGAUCAUCCCAAAGGAACUGCAGAUAUUCAGCUGAAUAUAAGCUAUUCAAUUCUCCUUUAAACAAAGGCCAGAGUCUGCAAGUAGCUAUAUUAGACCAGCUGAAUUGGUUGGACAAACGAGAAAAGCAUCUAGUUAUACAAGUUGUUCUUAACAUCCCUUCUAUAGACAAGUUCUGGGUACAUUAGACUUAUUUGUCCCACUUCCUCGCCUGAUCUAUUAAAAGAUUUUACAUCUGCCUACAACCUUUUUUCUUCCUGUAUUCUUAAACAAAAUGCCUAGUGCCAUCUCCAAAUGAAAGUAUAGCCUGAAAACUAGACUCUUCAAAGUGGAUUUUCUACUUAUUUACUUCAUGUGAUCUCUCUGUCUUCAAAAAAACUUCUAAAAUAUACAUGAUGAUUUAAGUUAUUGUGUAGAAGCCACGAAGAGCAUCCAGGCAGUGCAGUGGAGCAACGCGACGCCUCCCCGCACAGCUCUCCACAAAGGGGCUGGACAGAGUUCUGGAAAUCCGGGAUUUCAGACAGAUUACGAAAAUCCUCCCAAGACAGAUUUUAGGGGAUAAGGGCAGACACAGGCUCCCCAAAGUCUCAUCAUUCGCGGUGAUGUAAUCCUCGCAGGGGACUUGGGACUGCGCUCAUCUGUCUCGUUGGACAGACAGGGUGAACGCCGAACACCUCAAACAACACGGAGAACGUUUUGAAGCAUUUAUCACCAGUGCAGCUUUAAAGACAUGGCAAGUUUUAAGACUACCAUGUUGAUUUAGCUAUUCCUAAGCAAAUAUCCAAUAAUCUAUUAAUGCCAAGAAACAUUCGUGUUGCAUGCCAGCUCUUUAAUAUUAAAAAGCCUGUGUCCCUCUGUGAUACCUUUGGAACACCUGCCCAAAAUCCUGGCUUUGAUGGGCCAGUAGAUCUGAUGCUGUAGCAAUUCCCUGCCAGCCAAGUUUGUCACCUCCCAUUUCAGAGGCAUCUGUUGUGAUCAAACACAUAAUUUUGGGUCUCUUUUAUGGCAGAGACUCCUGACUAGCAAUGGGUGUCAGUCAGAUACCCCAGGUGAGGAGCAAGGAUUCUCUUCAAGAAGCUUCGGGACAAUUUAGUCUCUCCUGACUUUUGCCAGCUCUUCUGUGGUGUAACUCUCCACCCAUCAAUCUUCAAGGAAAAAUUAGCAGAGGAAAAGGAGACCCACAAAGACCCCCAGAAAGAGAGAAACCUCCUCCUUCCCUGCGGUAUUCAGGAUAAAACAACACGCACUAAUGGACCCUGAAGUAGCUGGAUUGCAGGUAAGACUUCCCAGGCUGAGCAAUACCUGUAACAAGCACGUAUCUCUACUGUGGGACAGACCUUUUAUCCGUUCUUCUGGGACCGGGCUACUGAGAGCCACAAAGACAGCUUUCUUCACUGUGAAACUGAAAGGGCUGUCAUGUGGAAUAAAUCAUUGAUGUAAUGGAAAGAAAAAAAAUACAUAUAUAUAUCCUCCAAGUAACCCAAAUUAAAAGCCCAGUGGUAUUUUCUGGAAGAAAAAAACUAAACCCACACAACUCUCAACCAAUGCAGCCGACCCUAAUAUUGAAAGCACAUCCUUGCCUUUGGUGAUUGAUUUUAAAUAGACUCACGAUGUCCUUCUACUUCAUGUAGAAGUAAUCAGCAUUUGUUUUCAUGAGGACACUAGAGCAGCGCAACAUCCCUUCUAUCAUCCUUCUAUUGACAGAGUUUUUUUGAAAGAUCAGAAGCAGCAGAAUGCAGAAAAAGCCUCCAGAGACAUGAAAGUGCCUGCACUUGACUUUCAUUGCAGGGUGCGCAGCCAAAGCAAAUCAAACAUCUGGGAUGUGCAGAGCCGCCUGUGUCGGGUUGAGGUGCCUGUCAGAAGGUCUCACGCAUAUGCAGUUGUCCAAAAUCUGCUCUCCUUGGGGUGCUUUACAUUGUUUUGACAUAUCAUUCACAGUAAAAACAGAACAGGAGCUGGUGAUUCAUAUUGCAACGUGUCACAGUAAUCUUUCUGAUGAACUGCCAUCUGCCUUAUCCUCACCAGCAAACUGUGUUCCCACCCGCAGUGGAGCCCUUGGAAUGGAGCGGCCGGUCGGGGAAGGCGGAUGCUCAGACACAGCCCUGAUCCGCUCCACUGACCCCAGGACGCUCUGCAUCACCCACGCACACCCGGUGCCCAGGGGCAGGAUGAGCUUUGCCUCCCGCUCAGCUUCCCAUUUUUCACCCAGUGUUGUGGUCAGGAGAGAUUCCCCCACCCACAGCAGACACUGAAAGGGACAGACAGACAGACUUGCCGGUCAAGCAACAGAACAACCAUCCCAACACUGAAUCGCACAGUCGCACCCCUUCAGCUUUGGCUGAUGGAAAUUCUGUUCUUCUUCCCCCUUGCCUGCAUCCUGAGAUUCAAGACGGACAGUGCGAGCCUGCAAUGAUGUCCACAACUGCAUCUUGCAAACUGUAUUUGAAAGAAUUUGAGAAGACUAAUGGCAGAGAUUCAGUGUCAAAAAAACCCAACACGUCAGUGAAGAUUUGUAGCUUGAACUGGUCCCUGCUUUAUUUUCAGGGAGUUACUCACACUGCCCUUGUCAAACUCACAGUAGAAUUUACUUUAAGAAGUAAUGAUUUUACUAAUACUGUAAUUUGUAUCACAGUAGUUCAAGCCCUCACUCCCAUUAAACCGAAUAAAAUAUGGUCCCAGCCCCUAAGAUCCUGCAGCUGAAUCGUUUGUUUCUCUCACUGAGCCCUUAGGAAGCUUGUUAGCGCUUUGUUGUAGGAAACACUCUUACAGAAAAUUGAUCUUUCCAAGCUUGCUAUGAGAAUUUUCUUCCAGUGCUGCUAUUCUCAAGCUACUAUUUUGAGCAAAACUUACAGAGUUUGAUAAAUCUUUGGGUGCUAUUCAAGAAUGGUCAUGAGCCUGUCUGGUCACAUUUCUUUCCUAACUUCUCUUAUGAAAGGUUUGUUGUUUUGG